GUGUACCCGCGGCAAGACGGAAAGACCCCGUGAACCUUUACUAUAGCUUGACACUGAACAUUGAGCCUUGAUGUGUAGGAUAGGUGGGAGGCUUUGAAGUGUGGACGCCAGUCUGCAUGGAGCCGACCUUGAAAUACCACCCUUUAAUGUUUGAUGUUCUAACGUGGACCCGUGAUCCGGGUUGCGGACAGUGUCUGGUGGGUAGUUUGACUGGGGCGGUCUCCUCCUAAAGAGUAACGGAGGAGCACGAAGGUUGGCUAAUCCUGGUCGGAC
rnacentral:rRNA from 1 species